CUCAUCCUAAACUAUUCUCCAUCUGGCUGGCUGUGGUUUGGCACAUUGGCUUCCUAAUCUCCAAAUCUCUUCAAGACUACGAAGGUCAUAUGAAAUCCUUUGUACUUUCUAUCUAUGGGCCACUGCUGUCAUGCUCUUUGUAGCCAUUGGGGUUCAUAUAAUAAUCUGAAGUUAUAUUGCUUAUUUAUUUAUCUAUUCAUAUAACACUUUUUUUUUCCACUAGGAAAUUUGCUUCACUAAAAUAAGGAACUUGCCUGGCCUUUUUUCUUUUUUUUAACAGCUGUAUGCUUAACACAAAAUAUGUACA
rnacentral:lncRNA from 1 species